AUUUUAUGUGUGUGAAUAGUUUAUUAAGAAUAUGAGUUUCACACAUAUAAGGUACAAGUUGGUAAAUAAAGUAUUUGACAGAAUGACUAUAUUUUAAAGUAUACAAAGGGUUAAGUGAAUAAAUUAAUUGUGGGAACUAUUGUGAUGAGUUAAUGGGCCAAGUUCAUAGUUCAUUUAACACCCUAUGUCACAUGGCCCGUAUAUAUGAGUGAGUUUAACUAUUUAAGUGAGUAGGGUUCCUAAGUGUUAAGGGAAAAAUUAGAAAUUUCAACCAAGGAGCGGUUUGGCAGAGGAUACGGCAUCACAAGAUUCGAUUUUCGUACUUCAGACUUUGUCCGUUCGGAAGCACUUCAGAAGGAAAAGGCUUUGGCGUGAAAGUUCGUGGCACCUGUUCGGCAUUGAGAGUUAUUUUCAGGUGAUGUUCGGAGUCUCAUGACCGUUUCGAGACAUUCAUCAAAGGCAUUUAGGUGAGCUAUUUGAGAUCUUGCAACCCAGAGUCUCUCCUUAGAUUUUUGUUGUUCUCUAUCCUUAAACAGAAGUCGUAUCCAGUUUGAGUCUAUUAUCUACUUCCAAUUGUAAACUCCUUAGAAGCUCUUGUACGAGUCUAGACCAGGUUUUGAGAAUUUAUUAUAAUGAAAGUAUU